rnacentral:rRNA from 1 species
UUGCACGCUGGCGGCAUGCCUUACACCUGCAAGUCGCACGGCAGCACGGGUGCUUGCACCUGGUGGCGAGUGGCGAACGGGUGAGUAAUACAUCGGAACAUGUCCUGUAGUGGGGGAUAGCCCGGCGAAAGCCGGAUUAAUACCGCAUACGAUCUACGGAUGAAAGCGGGGGACCUUCGGGCCUCGCGCUAUAGGGUUGGCCGAUGGCUGAUUAGCUAGUUGGUGGGGUAAAGGCCUACCAAGGCGACGAUCAGUAGCUGGUCUGAGAGGACGACCAGCCACACUGGGACUGAGACACGGCCCAGACUCCUACGGGAGGCAGCAGUGGGGAAUUUUGGACAAUGGGCGAAAGCCUGAUCCAGCAAUGCCGCGUGUGUGAAGAAGGCCUUCGGGUUGUAAAGCACUUUUGUCCGGAAAGAAAUCCUUGGCCCUAAUACGGUCGGGGGAUGACGGUGCCGGAAGAAUAAGCACCGGCUAACUACGUG